AUGUUGUCAGUACUAGCACAUAAUACUUCCGGAGGUGAUAUCGAUAAUCAGAGCGCAUUUGUACCAGGCAGGCUGAUCACGGAUAAUGUUCUAAUUGCCUAUGAGAUCUCGCAUUACAUUAUGAAUAAGAGAAGAGGUAAAAGUGGGUUCAUCGCGGUGAAGACGGACAUGAAUAAGGCUUAUGAUCGAGUCGAGUGGUGCUUCCUAGAGGCGAUGAUGUGCAGAAUGGGCUUUAGAAGAGAAUGGGUUGAUCUGAUUAUGAAGUGUGUACGGACGGUUAGAUACCAAAUCAAGGUUAACGGCGCACUCACCCAACAGUUUUGCCCCUCCAGGAGGCUGCGGCAAGGAGACCCGCUCUCCCCCUAUUUGUUUGUGAUAUGUGCCGAGGGACUCUCAGCUUUGCUACAUGAUGCAAUACAACAAGGCAGAAUCAGUGGCGUUAAGGUUUGUCCAGGAGCGCCAUGUGUCUCCCAUUUGUUUUUUACCGAUGACUCAAUGUUGCUACUCAAGGCAGACCAGCAGGAGGCUGCAGCGCUAUAUGAAAAUCUGCAGGUGUACGAAGCUUGUUCAGGCCAAUGUAUCAACGUGGAGAAAUCAGCUCUCAUGUUUAGUCCGAACACUGAUGGGGCAGUUAAGGACGCAAUCAAGAGUUCACUGAACAUCAUGAGUGAGAGCUGGAAUGAUAAGUACCUAGGGCUACCUGUUCAUGUCGGACGAUCCAGAAGGAAAGCGUUCGGCUAUAUCAAGAAGAACAUGUGCUGUGUCUAUGGGUGGCAAGAGAAACUGUUGGCAAAGGAGAGUAAGGAGGUUCUGGUGAAAGCAGUGGCAUAGGCGAUCCCUACUUUCGCGAUGUCUUAUUUCGAUCUCACCAUGACCUUCUGUACGGAAUUAAACACGCUCUUACGAAAGUUUUGGUGGAGCCAACAAGACAAGCAGAAUCCCAUGCACUGGCUGAGUUGGGACAAGUUAACACAGACUAAAUCCUUGGGGGGGGGGCCUGGAUUUCGGGAUAUGCACAACUUCAAUAUUGCCAUGCUAUCGAGACAAGGCUGGAGGUCGGUACAAAACCCAGAGAGCCUAUGUGCAAGAGUACUCAAAGCAAGAUACUACCCACACUGCAGUGCGUUGAAGGCGUCACCCCAUGAUGGCAUCUCAUACUCUUGGAGGAGUAUACUUCAUGGCCUGGAGCUGGUGAAACAUGGAUACAUAUGGCGGAUUGGCGACGGCUCUAGAGUGGAUAUCUGGAAUGAUCCAUGGAUAUCAAGGGCGUGGUCGCGGCGAGUCAUUACUCCAAGAGGUGCGAGCCUACUGACAAGAGUAGACGAGCUCUGA
rnacentral:rRNA from 1 species